AUAAGGGAGAGAAAAAGGGUGAAAUCAUUUUUCAUCUGUACAUCACAGCUGGUCUCAAGAUGUUUUCCUUCAAGAUGAUAGGAAAUGUCUGAUGGAAAGAAGACAGGAUUAUAGAAUUUCUGGAACUUUGAGCAUAAAAUUUGGCCAGGAUGAGAUGACGAGAGACUGGCUACAGUAGCAGCAGCAGCAGCAAAGUUUGCUAAAGAAGUCAUAGAAGAGCACUUAGAAGUUGUAUGCAGAAGGGUCAGGAAUUCAACGUUAUACUUGGCCACAGCAAGUUAUGGAGACUAGCCUGGGGAACUUGCAUACCUGUCUCAAAAAUAAAUGGGGACUGGAGAU